rnacentral:rRNA from 1 species
UUCCGGUUGAUCCUGCCGGACCCGACUGCUAUUUGGGUGAGAAUAAGCCAUGCGAGUUGAAUGGGAUACCUAAAGUUCCCAUAGCAAACUGCUCAGUAACACAUGAUCAACUUACCCUAUAGAGAAAAAUAACCUCGGGAAACUGAGGAUAAUGUUUCAUAAUUGAAUUGGCUUGGAAAAGUUUUUCAAUGAAAGGGAUAAAAAAAAUGGUUUUUAUCUGCUAUAGGAUAGGAUCGUGUUCGAUUAUGGUUGUUGGUGAGAUAAUGGCUCACCAAGCCGAUAAUCGAUAGGGGCCGUGAGAGCGGGAGCCCCGAGAUGGGUACUGAGACAACGACCCAGGCCUUACGAGGCGCAGCAGGCGCGGAACCUCCGCAAUACACGAAAGUGUGACGGGGUUACCCAAAGUGUUCAAUAGAACUGUGGUAGGUGAGUAAUGUCCCCUACUAGAAAGGAGAGGGCAAGGCUGGUGCCAGCCGCCGCGGUAAAACCAGCUCUUCAAGUGGUCGGGAUAAUUAUUGGGCUUAAAGUGUCCGUAGCCGGUUUAGUAAGUUCCUGGUAAAAUCGGGUAGCUUAACUAUCUGCAUGCUAGGAAUACUGCUAUACUAGAGGGCGGGAGAGGUCUGAGGUACUACAGGGGUAGGGGUGAAAUCUUAUAAUCCUUGUAGGACCACCAGUGGCGAAGGCGUCAGACUGGAACGCGCCUGACGGUGAGGGACGAAAGCCAGGGGAGCGAACCGGAUUAGAUACCCGGGUAGUCCUGGCCGUAAACGAUGCAUACUAGGUGAUGGUACGGCCAUGAGCCGUAUCAGUGCCGUAGGGAAACCGUUAAGUGUGCCGCCUGGGAAGUACGGUCGCAAGGCUAAAACUUAAAGGAAUUGGCGGGGGAGCACCACAAGGGGUGAAGCCUGCGGUUCAAUUGGACUCAACGCCGG